rnacentral:rRNA from 1 species
UACGUAGGUGGCAAGCGUUAUCCGGAUUUAUUGGGCGUAAAGAGAACGCAGGCGGUCUCUUAAGUCUGAUGUGAAGGCCUUCGGCUUAACCGGAGUAGUGCAUUGGAAACUGGGAGACUUGAGUGCAGAAGAGGAGAGUGGAACUCCAUGUGUAGCGGUGAAAUGCGUAGAUAUAUGGAAGAACACCAGUGGCGAAAGCGGCUCUCUGGUCUGUAACUGACGCUGAGGUUCGAAAGCGUGGGUAGCAAACAGG